rnacentral:rRNA from 5 species
CCUGAAGGAACGUUGAAGACGACGACGUUGAUAGGCCGGGUGUGUAAGCGCAGCGAUGCGUUGAGCUAACCGGUACUAAUGAACCGUGAGGCUUAACCUUACAACGCCGAAGGUGUUU